rnacentral:lncRNA from 1 species
CUUAGCACCUCAACAUAUCAAUUUUGGGGAAAUACAAUUCAGUUCACAGUGCAUAGAUAGAUAUUAAUUGAUAUUAUCAAAAGAAACCAUGGGCAGAUAAACCCAAAACCAAACUGUUUUAAUGGUUAUCUAUUGGGAAGAAAAAGAAACAGGGUGAACGGGAAGUUACAGAAGCAAGAUUUCUGUGACUGUAACUGGAUAAAUAGAGAGUUUGGGAGGACGAUAAGUGUUUUAUGUGAUUUUUAAAAAUUAAAGUAAACUGAAAUGAAUGAGUCUUCCUGCAUAUAAAGUGUGUGGCAUAACCACAUAAAGCAAACAAUUACUUAAAGUGGCUUUAAAACGCAGCAUUUUGACUAUACAUCCCAAGUGAGAGAUAUGCUAUGGACAAUAAAAAAAAGGAAAAGAAAAAAGGAAAGAAAUCAUAAAUGGCAUUCAGUAGCCAUAUAUUAGUAUUGACAUUUUUAUUAAAUUACUAUGUUUCCAUCAUUAGGAACCAUAAUUUUCAGUAUAAAAAUGACAUAGCAUAAAAUCAAGGAAGUUUAAGUAAAAAUCUUGUAAUCUUAAAAGUGAAUUGGAAAUUGCAGUAUGAACUCACAUUGUGUUUUACUCUUUAAAAAAUACAUAUUUUCUAGUUCUGUCCACUGAAAAGACCCAGAAGCAAUGAAAACCCAGUAACAAUGAGCACACUUCCACGGCUGAACUCUCUAGAUAACAUUUACCAAUGAAAUUGGCUGAUUCUAAGUCUAGGGCAAAAAAUGUACAAAAGGAGACUGGAUACAAGUCUCUUAUUGUACCAGAAAGUGAAGGAGAAAUCAAAGACUAAUGAGGUCACGUUAAAGUGAUACAGGACGACACAGGGCCUGCCUGCAGCAGCUGGUCAAUAAUGAAGGGAUUAAUCCAUGACUGCAAGACUCGUGGGAAGGAGGGAGUGGGGACUGCAGGGAGGGUCCUAGUAAAAGCAGGGUGGGCCUCGAUGAGCACAGCAUGGACAGUGCGAUUUAAAUCCCAUCGCUUGUGGGCAGGAGGAGUGAGGAUGCCAGAACCUAGUUAUCCCCCACCAUCCCACGCUCUCCCAGGAGGCGGCGGCAGGAAGUGCAGUCUACAGUAAGGGAAAGCCGCCGGAGCUGGAGACAGGCUGGAAAGAGCAGGUAACAGCCCACAAGGAGCGGGGGCCCUGGCUGUCAGACUCAACUUGCAGGACCAUCAAGUGCAGGUGUGGUUCAAGAACCGGGGCCGCUUGCUCUGCGGUAGCAACGGCACAUAACCGCAGCGAUGACCAGGGCAGCCAAGCCAGCAGCCGGGACCCCGGGAUGCUCUUGGCACAUGAUCCGACUCCCCUGCCUUUGCGGGUCCUGUACUCCCGCGAGGUCCAGGAUUGUGCAGCCCCUCCCCAACCGGCCGUUGGGAAUCUUCGCAGCAGCAGAACCCGCUGCCUCCAGGUCCGACCAGACCUGCAUAGGUAGAGAGUCCCCGCACAGGGCGGCCAGCAGAGCUACCCAGCUGCCCCAGGGCCUCGGGACCCCUGGGCCUGGGACCCAGGCCAGACCCUGACUCAUUCGGUGAUCUCACAGGACUCCUCCCACCCCAAGACCCUUUCAGGGACCCUGCCUCGAACUCCACGACAUGGGAGGCAGGGGCGGGCCUUUUGCAGGGGAAGGACUCCCCCAGCAGGACGUUUACUGAAUCUGGAGGGAGUCGCCCUGCAGAUAUCCCGCGGAAGCCGGAGGAGACCCAGCAAUUCCAUUUUGGAAAAUUUAUCCUGAGGAAAUAAAUAAAGAUGUAAACAGAGAAUAACUUACAGAUGUGACGUUUGUGAUCGUUAAAACUGGAAACAGCGCAAGAGUGGACGAUAGGGGAUGAGAGAGCCACACAGCGCAUAGAAGAUGAUCAGUCUGAAGAGAGGGUUUUCAGACAUGCAAUUAACUGCUAUUCACUGUACUUCAUUUUAACUGCAAACUAGCAGGGGAGUCAUGAUUCUACCUUUUUGGAAAUGACCCUCUAGCAGUUUUAUUGGUCCUAUGAGAUACACAGUAGAUUCACCAGCCAGAGCCAGAUGAGCUGCACAGUUGCCAAAGGGAACUUCAGAUGCCACCAGAGCCUCAGCUCUGUCCUCCCUCACCUCCCAAGGUGACUUCCAAGCAGCCACAGAACUUUAAUUUUACUUACUCUCUGUUUCUCUAGUUUUAUUUUUCUAAUCUUUACUGAAUUUGUGUCUGUGGUUUUAUUUCUGGUUUAUUCCUGACUAUAAGUUAUUCCCUAUUCUUGACAACAGUGAUUGAGAAUUUGGUUUUUGGCCUGACCAUUUAGUCAUCUCUGUAGAUGGAUGACACAGAUCUAAUUCCUUUCAAGUGAGAGACAACAGGAAAUCCGGUUUGUUGGUCCUUUCUUGUUUGUUUAUUUUGAGCUCCAGUCAGUUAGAAAUUUAGUGCCCGCUGCAAAGCACAGCUCUUUGAGACUUGGGAUUGGUAAGAGGGUGUGUUGCUUACUUCUGGCCUGUGGCUGAAUUUGCAGGGCCAAAGCCAAAAUCUCUCCAUAUGUCUGUCAUCUGUGAUCCAUGUGUCUGCAAGUCUAUAACUGAGAAAAGCCUUGAUUCCGUGAUAUGUGAGUGUGAAAUAAAUUAAUAAAUUAGUUAUGUCUCUUAAAUCAAAGGAGCUCUGUUCUUACUAGUUUAUAGGAAAAAAGGCACUUAUAUAUCUUAUAUAUCUCAUAUUUCUAGCUUCUAGUGCUUUCAAUGUGUUAGGCUUUUUAAAAUAUCCUUCAUACAGAAACUGCUACCUUAAAUACAUUUUAUAAAACCAAGUUCCUGUAACUAAGGUAAAUCUGUGGCAAGUCAAACUAGCUUAAUAAUUUUGGUUUUUAAAAAACAGAUUGGUCUUGUCUUUGAUUUACAGUGUUAAGUAUAAUUCAAUUGUGUAUUUGAUCAAAUCUCUCAUGAAGAGAAUAAUCUGGUCUUCUUAAAUAGUUUAUCAAAAAGAUAACAUUAGUCUAAUACAAUGUCACUAUUAUGAAAACUGAAUAUUGGUAUUACUCUAAAUUGAAUCACUAUUUAGACACAUCCGUUACCUCAACCUAUGUUUUGUAGUAUAAUUUAUCCAAUUAAAUAAAUGUCCAAGAUCUUUAGAUAACUUAGAACCUGGAAUCUUCAGAUAAAUCAGAACCUGACCCUGAAUGGAGUUAAUUAAUAGAUAAUCAUCAGAUACCUAGAUAAACGAAGUAGGAUAUAACACUAAAACAUGGAUUGCUAAGCCUACUUUUAGGCUUAUCCACUUUUGCUCCUUAUUUUUAUAU